CAAUUUUGUCACAUGACAGGGCCCUAUAACAUUGUGCUAUAGCUCUGGACAAGACCAAGUUCAUCAUCAGUGUUGGUCCAAGCUUCGUCAGUGUCCAAGCUAGCUAUGCAACUCAAAGGAAAAACAGCAUUUCUCACUGGGGGUGUCGGGGGAAUUGGCGUAGCAUUUGCCCGUGCGUUGUUGGAAAAAGGCUGCAAGGUGUGUAUUACCGAUGUCAACGCAGAUGGUGGAAAGAAGCUGGAGGCAGAGCUGAAGCAGAAGUACCAAGAUGACGUCGUGUUUAUGCAGUGUGACGUCACUUGUGCCAGCAACAUGGAAGAAGUUUUCAAGACGGCGGUGGUUCGGUUCGGCGGUGUGGACAUCAUGCUGAACAACGCCGGCAUCAUGCACGAGGGACGCUGGGAGGCCAUGAUCAGCAUCAUGAUGCGUGGCACUGUGAUCGGGACGAACCUAGCCAUAGCUCACAUGAGGAAGGAUAAAGGGGGUAGAGGAGGGACCAUUAUCAACACCGCCUCUUGUGCAGGUAUCUACGUGUAUUUUACCACGCCCGUCUACUGUGCUGCCAAAUCCGGCAUCGUCGCCCACACGCGUGCAUGGGCGGACAUCCCUGACAGGGAACAGCUCGGCCUGCGGUUCGCUUGUAUCUGUCCGAAGCCAGUGGACACUCCCCUGAUGGACAUCACGCGAGAGAGCGUGAAUUACUUCCAGUACGAGUAUGAUGUGUGUCAACAGAUAGGGAGGAUGACGACGGAGACCAUAGCCGAGGGCCUUGUUGGCCUCUUGGAAGAUGACAGCAGUAACGGGGCUAUCCUCUACAUCUCCAAGGACGAGGGCUUUGCCAGGAAGAAGAUCUUGGUCGUCAAUGAGUCUGAUCUGAAGCAUGCCUAGAGGAUUGACUGCAAGGACAUAUUUCUAAGUGGGGCCUGAUUUUCACAAAAGACCUUGGUAAAGAGAGGUCGUGACAAUAGCCCCAACUACAAUGCUUCAAUUUCACACAUGGCACUAAUUACAAAGUGAAGAGUUAGAUAGGGAAUGGACACCAGACGCUGGCACAUAGUGUUGUGGGAAAGUCAUGCAGGCCACAGACCUUUACCACUUUGGUGCUGACAAAUCAGGAAUCAUAAUCAGGUUGAAUCUGGGAUCUGAGCCACACUUUGCCGUGGCUCCGGGGCACAUAUCUGUGUAGCAGCCUUAGAUGACCGGGACACAUAUGGCCUCCUAAAAUGUUACAGCUAAAUAUGCUUAUAGAUGUGACAGGAGAAAAUUGGUUUCUUCCAAUAUAAAUUGUGAACGAAU
rnacentral:misc_RNA from 1 species